UCCGUUAUGGUGUAGUGGCUCACAUUAUCGCCUCUCAUGUCCUGGAAUUGUGACGGCGCGAUAGCCCAGGGUUCGAUUCCCUGUAACGGAA